rnacentral:rRNA from 1 species
CAUGCAAGUCGAGCGAAGCGCUUUGCUUAGAUUCUUCGGAUGAAGAGGAUUGUGACUGAGCGGCGGACGGGUGAGUAACGCGUGGGUAACCUGCCUCAUACAGGGGGAUAACAGUUAGAAAUGACUGCUAAUACCGCAUAAGACCACAGCACCGCAUGGUGCGGGGGGUAAAAACUCCGGUGGUAUGAGAUGGACCCGCGUCUGAUUAGCUAGUUGGUAAGGUAACGGCUUACCAAGGCGACGAUCAGUAGCCGACCUGAGAGGGUGACCGGCCACAUUGGGACUGAGACACGGCCCAAACUCCUACGGGAGGCAGCAGUGGGGAAUAUUGCACAAUGGGGGAAACCCUGAUGCAGCGACGCCGCGUGAGCGAAGAAGUAUUUCGGUAUGUAAAGCUCUAUCAGCAGGGAAGAAAAUGACGGUACCUGACUAAGAAGCACCGGCUAAAUACGUGCCAGCAGCCGCGGUAAUACGUAUGGUGCAAGCGUUAUCCGGAUUUACUGGGUGUAAAGGGAGCGUAGACGGAUGGGCAAGUCUGAUGUGAAAACCCGGGGCUCAACCCCGGGACUGCAUUGGAAACUGUUCAUCUAGAGUGCUGGAGAGGUAAGUGGAAUUCCUAGUGUAGCGGUGAAAUGCGUAGAUAUUAGGAGGAACACCAGUGGCGAAGGCGGCUUACUGGACAGUAACUGACGUUGAGGCUCGAAAGCGUGGGGAGCAAACAGGAUUAGAUACCCUGGUAGUCCACGCCGUAAACGAUGACUACUAGGUGUCGGGUGGCAAAGCCAUUCGGUGCCGCAGCAAACGCAAUAAGUAGUCCACCUGGGGAGUACGUUCGCAAGAAUGAGACUCAAAGGAAUUGACGGGGACCCGCACAAGCGGUGGAGCAUGUGGUUUA